UGGGGAAUAUUGGGCAAUGGAGGCAACUCUGACCCAGCAAUGCCGCGUGAGUGAUGAAGGUAAUUUUAUUGUAAAGCUCUUUCUUGGGAACGAACAAAUGACGGUACCCAAGGAAUAAGCCCCGGCUAACUACGUGCCAGCAGCCGCGGUAAUACGUAGGGGGCGAGCGUUGUCCGGAAUGACUGGGCGUAAAGGGUGUGUAGGUGGUUUGACAAGUUAGAUGUGUAAUACCCAGGGCUUAACUCGGGUGCUGCAUCUAAAACUGUUAGACUUGAGUACUGGAGAGGAUAGUGGAAUUCCUAGUGUAGCGGUGGAAUGCGUAGAUAUUAGGAGGAACAUCAGUGGCGAAGGCGACUAUCUGGACAGCAACUGACACUGAGGCACGAAAGCGUGGGGAGCAAACAGGAUUAGAUACC
rnacentral:rRNA from 1 species